AGAUACCCCACUAUGCUUAGCCUUAAACCUAGAUGUUAAAUUUACAAGCAACAUCCGCCAGGGUACUACAAGCGCUAGCUUAAAACCCAAAGGACUUGACGGUGUCUCAGACCCACCUAGAGGAGCCUGUUCUAGAACCGAUAAUCCCCGUUAAACCUCACCACCCCUUGUUUUCCCCGCCUAUAUACCGCCGUCGCAAGCUUACCCUGUGAAGGUCUCAUAGUAAGCAAAGUGGGUAAAUCCCAAAACGUCAGGUCGAGGUGUAGCUUACGAGGUGGGAAGAAAUGGGCUACAUUUUCUAUAUCAGAAUAAUACGAACAGCACCAUGAAAUUUGUGCUCGAAGGUGGAUUUAGUAGUAAAAAAUAAAUAGAGAGUCUUUUUGAACCAGGCUCUGAGACGCGCACACACCGCCCC
rnacentral:rRNA from 1 species